GAAGGGGGUUCAGAGAGUGGGUAGCCCACCUUCUCAGAGGGUUUUAAUAGAGCAAAGCCAUGAGGUGAGAUAGGUAUAAAGUGGGACGAAACUAUAUAGUCAACUAGUAACAUCUAGGGCUGGGAAUGUAGCUCAGUGGUGCUGCACUUCCCUGGCAAGUGCAAGGUCCUGAGUUCAAUUCCCAGCACCGCAAAAAAAAGAAAGAAAGAAAGAAACUAACAACAGCUGAUGGAAAAUCACAAGACAGGUAUGAGGUGGGACAAAACUAUGAUCAACCAAUAAGAUUACAAGUAUAGUCACAAGUAAUAUUGCUUAAAUGGUAUUGGGAAACAUAUUGGGAAACAAGUCAUUCAGCAAGCACGUAUGGGAGGAGCAAGGAUUUCUGGGAAGGAAUGGGCUAGGAAGGUUUUAGUCCCCACCCAAGGUGGCUGAUACAUAUUAAGAAUAUCAACUGCCACUAUUCAUCCCUAGGAGAAGUAUGUAAGUGUAGUCCUUCUUUUUUGAAUCCUGGCCUUCAAUAAAUGGGCCUCAAUUAUCUUCUGAGGCCUGGCCCAGUUUAACUACCUACAACAUGUCUAAUCAAUUUAGCUGUCUACAAAUAAGACCAGAGCCCUGCUUUCUGGCUGCAGUGCAGAUCCCUCAGCCUGGUGGCACAGAUCCUUGACCCUGCCCAUACAGACUUUCUCGCUCCGCCACUGGCCUGUGGGCCUUCCCGGUGCAGGUCCUUCAUAAAAAUUUGCAUGAGACAUUGCCUUGGGCUCUAGGCCUUUAGCUGAAUUUGUGUGGGGGACACUGCUGCGGGAUCCAGGCCUGUGGCUGCAUUUUUCAUUCCUCAAGCGUGUGGACAGAUCUCUUGCACUUCUCUGCAUUUGACUUUUUGGGCGAAUACUAUAAAAUGAUCCUCUAAGUUAUGUGUCCUGUAUUAAAUCUAGUCCCUUGCAAAUCCUGACUACAACAGCGGCCAUUUUAGGAUGCACUCAAGAGUGGAGUGUGGACGCUCAGAGAAAUGAGGCCAAUUAGUAGAACUGGAAAUAUUCAGGUGGUACAAAUCUUUUUUGGAACAUCUAUAGCAGUGGUGGUGGAUUGGCAGCACAUUGCCACAGCGGACACACAGAGCUCUCUCUGUCAGCACGCAAAGCAAACCACCCCAGCAGCCAAGAGAUGAACAUGGUCUACUCUCAGAUGAAAGAAAACCAUCUGCAAGUAAAAAGCAAAAUAGCUGAACCCAUUAGCAGGACCUCCCUACAAUGCAUCCACUGAAAUAUAAUGCCCGUUCCAACAGGGGCCUCUGGGACCAUGUUUCGAAGCACUGGUCAACUUCAAUUUGAUUAGCCCAAGAGCAUUCCCUAUCACGGGGAAACCUGCCUUCUACUUACUCUGUAAAUCUUCAUGUCCACCUGUGGGGACCAUCAUUAGGCAACUAUUAUAGACAGCUGAGUUGGGUAGCAAUAUUACAGGCAGUCAGAUAGGCCUAAGUCCUUGAGAGAGUCAGGACAAAGGUGAAUCAUGACAACUGCAGGCAGAGACACAUCUGUUGGAGAUGAGGCCUCAGGAUAAAGACAAGAGAUGACCAGACGUGUCAAAGGACAAACACUGUGUUGAAUGAAGUCUGGAUAGAUAUCAGCUACUCCGGUGGGUGGAUGACCAGAGACCUCUGGACCCACCAUUUCCUAAAAGAACUCUGUUCUUUCCAUCCACACUUGUUAUAAGACUUGUUUCCUAAUUAGACCACUAUUAGCUAAGUGACUGUACUUGUAACCUUAUUGUUUGAUUAAACUCCUCUGUAAAGCGAGGUCCCCAGGCUACCCACUUGGGUCCCCUCCUGCCCCUCAAGAGCUAUACUAUUAUUAUAGAUGGAUGAGCUAGGUAGAAAUAUUAUAGGCAGUCAGGUAGGGCUAAAUCCUCGAGAGAGCCAGGACAAAGGUGAAACACACCACAGCUGCACGUAAGCUGAAAACCAGGCCUCAAGAUGGAGACAAGAUGACCAGACCCACAUGCUUCUACAAAGAACCGGGCAUAGUGAAGUACAGAUAGGCAUCCACCACCCCGGGGUGACCAGAGACCUCUGGCCUACCGCCUCCUAGGAGAACCCUUGUUCUUUCUGUCCACACUUACUACUGGACUUGCUUCCCAAUUGGACCAGCACUACCUAAGUGACUGCACUUGUAACCUUAUUGGAUGUCCGUGGCUGUGGCCCACAGUGUACCCACCUGGCUUUAACCCUAUAAAACUCUGUAAAGUGGGGUCCCUGGGCUCCCCACUAAGGACCCCUCC